rnacentral:miRNA from 1 species
AAUGAUGUUAUUUUUCUG